AACGCGAAGAACCUUACCAGGGUUUGACAUCCUGCGACCGCUCUCUAAUAGGAGUUUUCCCGCAAGGGACGCAGAGACAGGUGCUGCAUGGCUGUCGUCAGCUCGUGUCGUGAGAUGUUGGGUUAAGUCCCGCAACGAGCGCAACCCUCGCCUUUAGUUGCCAUCAUUCAGUUGGGCACUCUAGAGGGACCGCCGGCGACAAGCCGGAGGAAGGUGGGGAUGACGUCAAGUCCUCAUGGCCCUUACACCCUGGGCUACACACGUGCUACAAUGGCGGUGACAGUGGGCAGCUACUUCGCGAGAAGCGGCUAAUCCCAAAAAACCGCCCCAGUUCAGAUUGUACUCUGCAACUCGAGUACAUGAAGGUGGAAUCGCUAGUAAUCGCAGAACAGCAGGCUGCGGUGAAUACGUUCCCGGGCCUUGUA
rnacentral:rRNA from 1 species